rnacentral:lncRNA from 1 species
CCUUGUUCUUAUAGCAAGAGCAUUUGGUUUGUGGUCCAGAUUUGUCCGUGAAGAUUAGAGAUCAUCCUCCUUCCCUGCUUUUCUUGUGGAUGUCAUGGAGAUCGAAGAGAAUCAAAAGAGAUGCUUCAGGAGAGGGGGGGGAUCAGUUAGUCUCGACCAUUUAUUGGAAUUCAUGGAAUGAACAAAAAAUACAAGGAUUUUUCAUAAGAGAAGCGAUCCCGUGACUUAGAUGCUAGGUAAAAUAGCUACCGUACCCAUAUCGGAUACAUUUUUGAUAUGAAAAUGCAGG